rnacentral:lncRNA from 10 species
GGAAUCUCAUUUAUUCACCUCUUUCCUACACUUUUGCAUGCUGAGGACAGGAAGAGGAUAUAAAGGGGGAAGGAGAGACUCAAACACCACCUCACUUUGUUCCUCCAGGUUGUACAAAGGUGAAGAUGUCCUGACUAUGGUAGAUCUCAUUCUGGGCUCUUAGAUCAUCAACAGGUGAGCACAGGAGAGGUAACCUGAUAACAUUGAGAAGAAGGAGGGUCAUUGUGAGUCAUUGCUGCAAUGUCAUGAAAUAGGACAUUCUCCCUCCAUUGCACUGAUCUCAACGGCUGCUUUCUACACGAAGAACUGGAGGUUAAUGGGAGAUGGCAGCCCAUGGCAGAAACAAAGAUGCUCAUGGCAGAGUCUGGAAGCUAAAAACGAGAGAAAAGAGGACAAAGAAACCACUGUGUCAAGGGCCAUCGUCCCAAAGGCAAUACAAAUUUUAACACUAUCUGCUCCCAUAGUGGAAGUUAUAAUUGAUCUUAAACUGAUUUGAUCUUAAACUGAUACCAUUUUUUCUUUGAGAUGUGUAUUUUUUAAGAAUGCAUGUGUUUGAGUGUUUGUGUAUAUAUGAGUGUGUUUUUUGUCUAAGAGUAAUUUCCUAGCAGGACAGAGUAACAGAAUCCCAAACUUGGAUGGGAAUGGGAGGGGAAAUCCAGGGGCCCUG